rnacentral:rRNA from 1 species
AAUCAACGCUGGCGGCGUGCCUAACACAUGCAAGUCGAACGCGAAGACCCCGCAAGGGUUUGUAGCGUGGCAAACGGGUGAGUAACGCGUGGGCGACUUACCUCCGAGUGGGGGAUAACCUUCCGAAAGGAGGGCUAAUACCGCAUGACAUCCUGCCCUUAGACGGGCGGACAUCAAAGCCGGGGAUCGCAAGACCUGGCGCUUGGAGAGAGGCCCGCGUCCGAUUAGCUAGUUGGUGAGGAACGGCUCACCAAGGCUCCGAUCGGUAUCCGGCCUGAGAGAGCGGACGGACACACUGGGACUGAGACACGGCCCAGACUCCUACGGGAGGCAGCAGUGGGGAAUUGUUCGCAAUGGGCGCAAGCCUGAUCCAGCCAUACCGCGUGGGUGAAGAAGGCCU